rnacentral:rRNA from 1 species
UACAGAGGUCCCGAGCGUUGUUCGGAUUCACUGGGCGUAAAGGGUGCGUAGGUGGCGAGGAAAGUCGGAUGUGAAAGCUCGGAGCUCAACUCCGAAAUGGCAUUGGAAACUACCUUGCUCGAGGGUUGGAGGGGGACUGGAAUUCUCGGUGUAGCAGUGAAAUUCGUAGAUAUUCGCAAGAACACCAGUGGCGAAGGCGGCUCACUGGCCCGAGUACUGACGCUGAGGAGCGAAAGCGUGGGAGCGAACGAGGAUU